GGUAUCGUUGUCCCUCGUGAGUUUAUUUUUUUCCUAGCCCACUGUAGCCCAAAUUCAAGCCCUGUCUAAGCCUGUAUAACCCAGACCGUAUACGUACAGUACCCUCCCUCGAAAAAAAACAUCACAUGACCCCAUGACCACGUAAGACCUGCUGAAUCAAAUCAUUCACACAACUCCAUCAUUCACGCUGUAGAUCUCCAGCGGCGCCCAUCUCGUCGCCAGCCAUCUCGUCGGACAGCAGGCGCGGCACCGUCGUGAAUCUCCAGCGCUCGCAGGAAAUGGCGGACAUUGAGUUAACUGAUAUCAUGAUAGACAUUGAGUUUGGAGAACUGAUGAAAGACUGGAUAGAAGAUUGGUCAGAUGAUGAAAAUUCAGACCGUGGAGAUUGGUCAGAGAAUGGGAACGAAGGGGAAGAUCUUAAUAUGGAUGAGCAUGAUGAUGGUUAGGAAAAGAACGCCGAGGUCUCAAAUGAAGAUUACAUUAGUCAGCUCAUUUCUGGAUGUCAUAAUGCGUACGAUUAUUACGGUGAAUCCGACGCGGAGACAUGCCUUAAUGACAAACCAUGAGAUGCACCUGAUUAUGGGGAGUCGCAGUCGUCGGUCAUCAUGAGUGAGGUGACAGAAGAUGAGGGGAAAGAGAAUCUCGACGAACUGUCCAUGCAGAUGAUAAGAGGGAUAUGUUCAUGAAGAUAAUAGAAAUGACUUUUAUAUCUCAAGAUGUUGCGUUUGAUUUUUACAACAUCUAUGCAUGAGAUAAUGGUUUCAGCAUUAGAAAGGAUAAGGUCGGGUAUAGCAAAACUGAGUCACAUCAUAUGCUUUAUAGGUGGUUUCUUUGUUCCAAAGAAGGGAACGUGACAACAAGUUGCUAACCGAGGAAGGACGCACCCGUAGGCUCAGACCUGAGACACGCUGCAACUGCGAAGUGCACCUGACCGUCAAGCUUGACGAAAAGCGUGGGGUUUGGUAUGUUGAAAGUUUUGAGGACAAGCAUAGCCAUAUAUUGCCAAGACUGGACGAGGGAUUAGAAUUGACGACACUAUGGAUUCCUUCGUCGGCAAACAUGUAUGGUAUAGCGGUGUUGGUUUUACCAGGUGUGAUAUAUACAACCUUUGCUCCAGGGAGAAGAGGAAGUUGCUUUGAAAAGGUGAUGCUGCCACAACCAUAGGCAUCAUGGCCAGUAGGAAAGAGAGGGAUCCUAGCUUAUUUUUCGAGUACAAGCUAGAUAAGGAGGGACAUAUGAAUAGAAUGUUCUGGUGUGACUCGCAGUCCCAUCAUGACUAUGAGGACUUCGACGACGUGCUUGUAUUUGAUAGCACGUACAAGGCUAUGGUAUGUCAUUCAUACCUUUUGUUGGUCUUAACAAUCACCGGAAGACCAUUGUUUUUGGUUGUGCCAUAGUUUCGGACAAGACCGAAGAAACAUAUGUGUGGUUGCUGUAGACUUUUUUGAGGUCCAUGUGUCAGAAGCUGCCGAAGAGUGUAAUCACGGACGCCGACACUGCGAUGAUCAAGGCAAUUCACAAAGUCUUGCCAGAAUCACGUAUAUGUACGUGGCAUAUAGAAAAAAAAUGAAGAUUCACCUUAGUCACAA